AACGAACGCUGGCGGCAUGCCUAACACAUGCAAGUCGAACGCUAUCUUUGAUAGAGUGGCGCACGGGUGAGUAACGCGUGGGAACCUGCCUUUCUCUGCGGGACAACGGUUGGAAACGACCGCUAAUACCGCAUACGCCCUACGGGGGAAAGGUCAGCCGAGAAAGAGGGGCCCGCGUUCGAUUAGCUAGUUGGUAGGGUAAAAGCCUACCAAGGCGACGAUCGAUAGCUGGUCUGAGAGGAUGAUCAGCCACACUGGGACUGAGACACGGCCCAGACUCCUACGGGAGGCAGCAGUGGGGAAUAUUGGACAAUGGGGGCAACCCUGAUCCAGCAAUGCCGCGUGUGUGAUGAAGGCCUUAGGGUUGUAAAGCACUUUCACUGGUGAAGAUGAUGACGGUAGCCAGAGAAGAAGCCCCGGCUAACUUCGUG
rnacentral:rRNA from 1 species